AUUUGUGCCUGUCUCACUAAGAUCCUAAAACUCCAUGAGAUUUCCCUGUUUCCCUCGUCCAAGAGAUCUAUUUGGCAAUUCCAAACUAAGCCUAAAGUGUGCGUGCGAGGUCAAUCAUUGUUUACACACGUGAUACCCUAUCCCAAUGUAUGACUUUACCCUUCUUUCUCUCUCGGCCUGGCUUCUUUUCCUACCUCUCCCACCCUGUCUCUCUUCUAGAAACCCCCCCUCUCUCUCUCUACUUAACUUAUCGCAAGGGAACUCUAACACUAACCUCUUCCAUCUCUCUCAUCAGACUCCUAAUGGCCCCAGCUUACCGUUAACCUUUCUUUCUCUCCAUCUAUUUCUUUGCUUUGCCACCCUAUCUUCUCCUCUUUUGCAUUGGUUUUAAUCAUAUGGGUUUCGAUCUCAGAUAGGGUUUCAACCUUUAAUCCCUUUUUUUUUCCUGUUUUUGAUUUUCAGAUAGGUUGUCUCUGAUAGGAUUUCUAUUUUCAUUUUUUAUUAUAUGAGUUUCUUCUCGAUUUAUCUCUGAUAUUUUGCUUGACUUUUCUCUCCUUUAUUGAUUUCCUUCCACUUCCAAUGUUUCACUCUCGCAUGGCAAGAUUGAAUAUGUAUGGAGCCAAAUCUAGCGCUAUGUAUGGGGCCAAAGAAUGAGCGGGAUUGAGAGAGCUCAAUCCACGACUAAUUUGUUUAGUCAAUUUGUUUUUCUUUUUUCCUUUUGGUGGCGCUUUGUGUUUCUUUGUGCUACUUGCUACCAGAAUUAUUCUAAAAGAAUGUAUUUCUUUACUUACUUUUUGGGAUUGAAUCAUUCAUGUCUUUUUGGGUUUGGUUGAAAGUUUUCAUUUUUAAUUCAAACAAGAAUUGAUGAGGUAAUAUAUUUCUGUCCUUAUUGUGCAUCUUGUUACAUUUAUUUAUUGUAUUCCCUUGGUUUUGUGCAUGUAGGUUCCAUUUUGUUUGUGUGUUUAUACGUUUUAAGGUUCCUACUAUUGGUGUACUAUACAAAACAAAAAUUGAUGAGGGGUUAAAGCUACAAGCUUCAAGAAAUAUGUGGAUUAUCCUAAGCUAAAGAGAAAUAUGUGGAUUAGGGGUAAAUUGCUUUCCAUUUACAGUAUAUUUCCACCAUUACCAAUUUAUAGUUUAGAUAUUCAUUAACUAACAAGUUUGUGUAAUUACCUUUUCCCAAGGCUGAUUGACAUGGUUGAGAAGAAACUUGGAAGUUGGGUAGAUAAAACAUGAUGCACACCUUUGGUUUAGAAAGAAAUUAUACAGAAAAUGAAUACAAGGGGAGACAUGCAAUAAAAAGAGUAUAGAAACUUAACUCCUCCCACUAUUUGAGGGCAAUAAUAAUCAUCUCAACAUAUUUAUACAAUAUUAAACUACAUAAUAGUGCCAAACCAGAACCACUAGAACAAUAAUUGCUUAUAACAAUAUCUUUUAUACACCACUAAAAAUACAACUAACCUCAUUUAGAAAAAUCUCUUUUACUUUCCCACUUAUAUAACUUUGUGUGCUUCUUUUAAUUUCUUGUUUGCAUGUGAGACAUAUAAUCAUUCAAAUUCUGAUAUUGAUUAGGCCUGUAUGUUGGUUCUAGGGAGCACUUUUGAUGAUUUUUUUUUUUUCAUUUUCUUUCUAUUUUCUUCUUUGGCAUUUGUACUUAUGAGUUAUGACCUAUAUUAGUUAUUUUUCUUUUGUUCAUUUUAUUGUUGUUUGUAGGGCCAAUAUCCUUUUUACUAUUUCUUGCCAUUGUCUUGCUACACUAACAGUUGCACAUUUUGGUGGCUUCUUUUUGGAGGAGGCAUCACCUUUUCUAUCCAACUGACUCAAUCAGCCAUCUUUAUGAUGCACAUGGAUUUAAAACAGUAAUGACCAAGAAUUAAGAGAAUAGAAUUGUCCCUCCCAAGGCCACAGAUAGCUGUGAUCAACAUUGGUUGAUGACCUUUUUAUUGAGUGGACCAAAAGAGGUUGGGUGGUAUCAUCACAAUCAAGAGUAGAGAGGGUUUGAUAGCAGUUUUUGGGAGAAUGCCAAGUUAUGGUACCAAAAGAGACAUGUUUAUAUUUGGCCAGGACAUGGUUUUUUCAGAAGGAUUAAAGAAAGAAUAGAAUCUUAACCAGAAUAAAUGAAAAAGGUAAGUGAGUGACCUUGAUGGAAGAUUUGUUUGGAAGGAUAGGUGAUGAUGGUUUUUCAUUGCUUGGAUUUAGGUUUGGAGAAUUUGUUGACAGAGUUUGUUAUUUAUGCUACCUUCUCCUUCCUUGCUCGCUGCUAAAAUCCUUUAUAUUCUUCACCAAUUUUGACCUUUUUUGGUCCUAACUAAUACAUCAUUAAGUAGAUUCUUAAAUCUUCAAUAGCUGAAUGUUGCUAUGUUGAUUUCUACCCUUGGGAGUAUCAUGUCUGUUUAUGAAUGUUAACUUUGUUUUUCUUUUUCUUGAAAUUGGUUGGUUUAUUCAUCAGAUCUAACCAAUGAUUUGAUUUGGUUUCGCAUUUUGCACAUGCACAAAAUUAAACAUGGAGAUCGUAUACCUAUUACAAUUACUUAAUAUUUUUAGCUUUCUUUUUUGUUAAUUUACAACCUUUUUUCUUAAUAUUUUGGCCUUAAUUAGCAAUUUCCUAUCAUUGGUGGUAUUUCCAUUUAAUAACAUAGUGAAUUGUCUUAGGGUAGAUUUAUACUACUUUGUGUUAAAUUGAUUGAUUGAUUGAUUUUGUUCAUACCACUUAUGUGGGAACACAUGGUAUGAUUAAGGAUCAUCAUGGGGCCAUGGUGAGCUCCUCUUUAUUAUAUGCUAAUUUUCAAAUAUUUUCUCCCUUCUACAAUGAUGCUGCUACUACUCUUUAUUUUUGUAGCCAAUUGAUAACUGAUACUAGAAUUUAGCAACUUGAUAAAUUGGCACCUUCGUCUUUAGUUUUAUUUAUUUAUUUGAUAGGUUUGUCUUUGGUUUUAUUGCUUUAUAUGAUUGCAAUGAAACCAUACUAAGUCCUUUUUUUUGAACUCUAGGUUUUAUUUUCUAAUUUACCAAUUUUUUUUUUCAUUUCUUAAACUCACUGUAUGGACCAUUUUUGUGCAAGAGGGGCAUUGGCUUCUAGCAGAAGAUAUUCUCACGUGGAACCAUGACCGGUAGUUCAUAAUUUCAUAAAUGGAUAAGAAUGUGGUUAUCUUGUUAAAAAUUGCCUCUUUUCAUUUUGAUUUAUCUGAAAUCCUCCCUAACAAUUAAACUAAAUGGGCUAUUUUAUGGUUCCACUUAGCAUGUCCACUUGAUCUUUCCUCUUUUGGUGCACAUUUUCGGUUUCUUGAGAAACUUAUCAUCAUAUUUCUGGUUUUGAGUUUGAUACAAUCAAGUAAGAAGUAAUGGGGGGAUAGAGAUAAUAAUUGGAGUCCUUAUUUAUAUUGGAAAGUUUCUACUAAUGGGGAGUUUUGCUCUCCUUCGGUUUUGUGCUUUUACUAAUUCAGCUAAUUUUGUGAUGGCUGCAGGUGGCAUGGUUUGAAAAGUAUAGUUAUGAAACAAAAAUGGGUUCAAUUCUACAAGCCAAUCUUUUUUGUGAAGAUUCAACAGUGGAAAACUUAAAAUUAUACAGGCAUUUUAGGCUGGUUGUAAUGGAAGGGAAUACAGUAUUCCUUCAUUCAAUUAUUAUAGGACAAACACCAAUACAUUUUCAUUUUGAUUUCUUGCA